AUGAAACGAUUGAUUGCUGUUUUUCAUAUCCGCCAUCGAACAAACGAGACGAAUCGCAAAUAAUCUAUCCUGCCUUUGCAUUUGCAUUUCUUCAGAAAGCGGCGAAUGCAACGAGGAGUUUGGACUCCUGCAUUCAAAGUCUUCUGAAAAGUCUCGCCCGACCAUCAUUACAACCUGCGCGCUGAGCAACAACAUUUUCCCGCAACACGAGUUCAUGUUGCCGUCGCGGUCCUUUGCCGGUACAGACUGACAGACAGGACCGAGAAGUUUAUGAAGAUUUCUGGGUGUAUUUGUACCAGGUAAAACAUUAUUUCUAGUAUACUUUCAUGCUUUCAUUAUACUGUUUCAUAAGUCGAAUAGAUUGUGUUAAUUUUGGGGCGAUAUAUUCUGUAUAGUUAUAAAUGAUUGAGUUGCCCCCACACCUUUAUGCCCAGGGCCAAAAGAAUGUUCGUGUAAAUGCUCCGCAGCCAUUUUUCUGCCCCCUUGUAUACUUAAGCUUCCUCAUAGAGCUCUUAUGCAUGGUUAUUAAACCUCUUCCUAAAAGAUGUUAUCGUACUUCUCACUACAUAAAUCUUAGAACAACUGAUACAUCUUAAUAAAUUACACCCUUUGAAUCACAAUCAAAGGAAUAAUUUAUCCAAUACUUAUUAUUUCCAUAUUCAAAUUUUUCCGUUUCCUCUACAUAACAGCAUAUCUGGCAUCUAGAUUUUCCGCACUUCUUCAUACUCUUAGCUUUACGUGUAUCAUGACUAAUUGAUGUGAUUAACAAGAUUAUAUAAAGGACAUGAGGCCAUUGACUUUGAUAUUCAUCGUUGAUGAAGGGGCACGCCCCAAAACGUUGGAGUAGUAGAAUAAUGUUGUAUAAUAGACGCGAUUGUGCUUUUAUACUGGACAAAGGUAGCUAUGAAUUUCAAUUUAUUAGUUCACUCCAAGCCUGCAUUUUUUAUAACAAUGGUGAUGCCCUUCCGCCAUUCAAUCAUGUUUCAGUCACAAUUGUUAAACGACCCUUUAUUGGUUAUUGCUUUCUCGUCUGCGGGAUCGUCGGGUCGUUAGGGGGACAGCUCGUUUAUAAUUUAGACACAAUAUUAUAACCACACUUGGAUAUCUUUUUAUAUAUUUUAUUAUUCUGUGCUGAUAUGCUUCCUUUCAAUACUGUUUCAAACUCUCUCUACAUCUAUUUUUGUUUUGACUCUACUCCAUUGCUCGACUCAUUUAAAGUUUCUCUUUGUUUCAGACACUUCAAGGGACAGAGGGGUAUAUCGACCCAUAAGCGCAGAAACAAGGAGUGUGAUAUUUGUGGCCAGUAAGUUGUUAUAAAUAGCUCCUGAAAUUUCCACUGCACAUUGAUUAACCGUUAGGGGGACAGCUCUUUUAUAAUUUAGACACAAUAUUAUAACGUAUUUGGAUAUCUUUUUAUAUAUUUUAUUAUUCUGUGCUGAUGUGCUUCCCUUUAGUACUGUGUCAAACUCUCUCUACAUCUGUUCUGCUCACCCUAUACAAUUACACUUACCAAUUGCUCGUUGUUGAUUGUUCGUUGUUGAUUGUUCGUUGUUGAUUGUUCAUUGUAAAACGCAUCCGGGUUACUCAAUAAUUAUAAAGUAUUUUAUAUAUGUGAAACGUAUAUUCAUUAAUUAAAAUGUUAAACGGGGAAUGCUUCAAUAACUGUUUUUAUUUUACACCAGCACUUAUCCAGGAGAAGAAAAAAUCAAAACCAUGGUGAAACAAUAAGUAAUAACUUGCCAUUAGUUCUAUAAAGUCUCGGGCGCUGAUUGUGCAGAAAUUUGAAUUUGCGGGGGUUUCGUCAUGUUUUGACCAACUUUUCCUAGGAUUUCAAAAAAAAAUUUCCGGACUAAUAUAAGAAUAUUCAAAAAAUUUUCGACCAAUACGAGCAAUGCUUCCGAUUUUUUCACCGCAAAUGUAACUGAAGCUUUAAAAUUGUUAAAAGUGCGAACCAAUUCAUUAGAAUUUUACCUUCAAUUUUUAUUGAAGGUACAUACAUGAAUGAGACAUUCACCAUUGUAACAAUUGACCAUUUGCGUAAUAGACUAAAUUUUGAUCUAAACAAGUCUAGACAAAAAUUUCAUCACAGCUUGAAGGAGCAUCACAAAAUUAGUAAUAUUCCAAAGUUUCUUUUGCAAAAUGUUGUAAAAUGCGGAAAAUAUAGCCUUGCGAAAUUUGCAAUUUUCAGUCAUUUUAGAUUACAAACGGGAAGUUGACAGCCCCAAACCCUUCGAGGCUGUCAAUUUCCGGUUUGUAAUCUAGAAUGACUGAAAAUUGCAAAUUUCGCAAGGCUAUAUUUUCCGCAUUUUACAACAUUUUGCAACGAAACUUUGGAAUAUUACUAAUUUUGUGAUGCUCCUUCAAGUUGUGAUGAAAUUUUUGUUCAGAUCAAAAUUUAGUCUAUUACGCAAAUGGUCAAUUAAAAACAGUAUUAAGUUAUUAAUUAACUUGGGUUUUUCCAUCACAAGAAGCGUUUACGGAAAGCGCUCGAGAUUUAUUUUGUAUUUAUUGUUCGAAUUUAAGCAUAUUUACGCGGUCGUUAUUUUAAUUUUCUUACAGACUGACACAGAAGUUCAAAAUACUUUUAAAAUUAUGGAAAAGGUAAUGUAUAACUGCAGAACACUGUAAAUGACUCAUAGCUCAAAGUUCGUCAGUUCUAACUUGACGUCCCGUCAUUGUUCUCACCUCCGGCGUUUAUGGUGAAAAAUCCAUGAAGGUUAAAAAAUCAAAAUAUUAAUGCAAUCUCGUCACACAUAUAGUUAAGCUAGGACAAAAAUGUUGCUUUAUCGCCACUAUUACACUUUCAGUAAACAUUAAAUUAAUUAGAUUUUCACUGUACAUUAACCACACACACUGAUCAAUUUUAGAUGUCAUGUUGCAUAAAAAGGUUAGAAAAGGACAAUGCAGUCCCUUGAACAAGAAGGUGCAAACCAUGUAACGAUUAACAAUAUUUAUAUUUUUAUGGUAGUGUAAUAUUUUUACGAGUGUGUAUUUACAUCCGGCAGGUUGAAAAAUUUGUCAAACGGCCCUACCCCGGUGGGAGUCGAACUAGUGGAGGACAGCCAGGCUUCUGAUCAGGAAGAUAGGCAGGUGUCGGAUCAGAUCAGGAGGAUAUGCAGGGUGAUCCAACUUUAUUUGAAAAUGGCGCCUAAACGGGAGGUUUUAGCGGCAAGUUGUUGUAAUUUUAUGUCUUGCCCUAGCGCGUGUAAACAAAUACAAUAGACCAGGGAGGGUCGCCCGGCCUUAAUUCAUGUAAGUAUUCUUUAUGCUUAAACUCGUUUUUCUGUAAAAUAUAGGACUUCGGGGAUGAUAAAAGAGAUGAGGCAGUAAGCACUUGCCAAUAAAAUAUAGGACUUCGGUGCAACUACAACGAAUCCGAUUGGCCAACAAGAUGAGCUGGUAAGCACUUUUCAAAUACUAAUGUGCAUCAUAAGAUUUUAGUUAGCCGAUGAAGAGGGAGUGUUAGAUAUUAUUGCUAUAGUACAUCACUGUAAAUCUGGUAGUGUUACUCCAAAACCAGAAAAGGUGUGAAUUCUUGCAGCUGUCUGGACACCAAUUUGGUGUUAAGUUACACUGAAUUUGAUGUCAAUGUAACCCUUUCGGUGUUGUGUAUCUCUACACAAUGAUCGUAAACUAACACUUCCAAAGGUCGUUGCAGUCCUUUUCAGUCUGUUGCAGUCCCAAGGAAGGGACUCCUUUAAUUAAAUAAUCGACAUCAUCUGUAUGAUUUUAGUUCUAUGACGUCAUCUUAAAGAUAAAAAUUGUGAAAUCUUGAUAAUUUUUUUAAUUUCGACCAUCGAAAACCAAAAAAGUUUCCGAUGAGUUUUUUUCAUUAGAUAUCUCUGAUGUUCUUUUAGACGUGUUUCCCAUGGUUUUUUUUUGUGGGGGGGAGGGGUUUGUGAGAUUUAUAUAUUUCAUUGGGAUUUUAAUUAACAAAAACUUGUAUAGAUGCUUGCGCCGGAUUCGGAAAUAUCACCGGUGCUUCGGGAAUAUGUCAGAACGGUUAUGAUGCUGAUUCCAAUGAAAUUUAAUUAUUGCUUUAGGAAUAUUAUCUCAAAAUAAUCGCGGAACUGCAAGCUCAUCGAAGAAAGAAAGCAAGAGACUUACAUAGAAAUGAAGAUACGAGAAGAAGUCUGUCAGGAAAUGGCGGAUCAGAUAGUGGAAAUUGAGAAAAAUUGCAAGUCAAUAGUACAAUUUCUUAUCGAAAUAAAUUUUCAAAUCUUCCGUUUAAAUAUUGAGAAAACGCACAGAUUAACUUAUUUUCUUCGUAUAGUUUAAAAUAAGUGUAAAAGUCUUUUGGACACUGAAACAUUUAUUUGCCAAUGAAUUUUUGUUGUAUUCUGUGGUGUAGAAUAAUAUGAAACUAGUUUCCCAAUUUACUUUGUACUUAAUUAGUAAGCUUUUGACUCGAUCAGGUUGAGUUGCGUCCUUCGUAAUUCACUGACAUCUGCUCUCAGCUGCAAGUAUUUUCAUUCCUUAAGAGUUAAGGAGCUGUUAACACAUUUGAGUGAGAUGAAUCGUAUCACGAACAUUUUCCCUGACCAUAAAAGAUCGUUUAAAUGAUUUUAAACUGUUACUGGAAUCAGACUAAGCUUACCAAACUCCAAAACAAAAAACUUGAAAAAUAGCAUCCGGUAUAGUGGAGCAAAACUUUGGAACAGCUUACCUUGCGAUUUAAGAAGUGCAGAUUCAUUAAAUCUAUUCAAUUCGUUGAUUUCUGAUACUAGCUUGGGGCCGUUGUAUCAUGAGCCGUUUAGCUUAAACGGGGAUAAGUCAAAAUUAAAUAACACUCUUAUAUCUUUCGUGAAUCAGUCAACUCAAAUGUUAUGCACUUAAUAUGUAGUUGUAAACAAAGUUUGGUUGUUGAAUGAAUCUAUAGGCUUGAUACAACUUUAUAUCUUUAUUUAUGUAACUGUGUAAUUUAAUAUGUAAAUUUCACUAUUGUAUAUAUUUUAUCAUCACGCCCCCCUUGGAAAUCAACAAAUGCUGAAUGGGUUAGCGUGUUUAAAUAAAGUUUUAUCUAUCCA